AUAUAUGUUUAACAGAGCAUAUAUGAUUAAUAGACUCGAAUCAAUUAAUAAUAAACAAUAUAAGAAUGAUCUUUUUUUACCGGCCAGCCAAUGAGGACUCUCGGGAACCAUGAGGAGUGCGAUAAAACACACGAGUGGAUAUGUCAAAUUAAUCACUGCCACCGUUCUCCAAUUGGUUAAGCUACCGCCGAGCAUCUGUGUGAAAACUCCUAAAAUGACGGACAUGGUGGAUGUAGCUGAUAACAUUCCUCGUAAACGAGGUUGGGUAACUUCGGCAACAUAUGUCAUCACUGGUGCUUCGAUCAAUCCACCGGUCAGUCCUGUCAUUGCUAGAGCUAUGAACAGCAUGGUAGUAUUGUAAGAGUAAUGGAAAGUCAGCCAGGCCAUUAUGAACGGGAUAUUUGCGAUCAUCAUCGUUCGUUUUCUACCUAAAUACUGGGAUAUUGGGCCACUUACGAAACAGCCUAAUGGUACAAGAAACAAAUUUAAACUGCCUGUAAUGAGAAAGAUAAAAGAACGUUAAAAAAGAAGAGAAAGAAUACAAACGCAUGGUAUAUGAAAUUGUGAUUAAAAGUGUUUGGAUAUAUGUAAUAGGAAAUAAUGAAAUAUGCAGUACAAGUAAAAAACUUACUGAUCCACGUAAUUUCUUCAGUAGUUGUGGUAAUUUCAGAAUUCUUGCUUUGUAAUUCUGGUAUCAGAAUUGUCGAGAAGCCCAAAGUCGAACCAAACGUGAUCAGGACUAGAUUUUUUGCGCCUACAGCACAGCAUUGCGGCAAGGCUUCUCGAUAUUUUGAAAUAGGCGUCAGAUUAUCGCCAACAUCGCCGUUUAAUUCCAUCGGUGUUAUUUUUUCGCCAUUGCUGAAAAUUUAUUCAAGCAAAAUUUAUCUAAAUAUUAUUUUCUUUUUAUAUAUUAAAAUAUUUAAUUAUUACUGGGAACAUUACAUAUAUAUUAACUAUAAAAUACUUUGGUCAAACGUGUCAAUUUUGUCUUUCACUGUAUAUCACUCUUAUGAUCGAAUAAACGAGAGUAAAUGGUCAUUAGACUUAUAACAUCAACUGAUUCAACUUACUUCUAGAAUGACUUGUGAACACUAUUCUUAAGAAUAAACGGAAGUAAUAAAGACAUUUCAAAAUCUC